GGAGGUUGAUGAGAAGAAAAUGAAGGUCGAUUAGAGGAUGAUUAUUUGGAAUGCCGGGCGGUAGCUGGUAGAGAUAAGAGUUUAAUUGGGCUCGUAAAAGUUUAAACGCGACCUGGCUCAAUUCGGAAUGGGGGUCGAUUGCGGUAGAUAAGCCGUUUGGGUGCGUUCGAUGCUAGGUCCGGCUUUCGCGACUAGGACACACAUAGUUUAGAAGAGAAGUUAUGAGACAGCCUCAAGAAGCUUUACAAAGUCAAAAUAACGGCUUUAAGUUGUUGCAGCUUUUGACUUAUUUCAAGUCUAAAACCCAAGCUCAAAGGUUUAUCAUUUUUUCUAAUACACCAUGAUGAGAAACGCCAUUUGUUUGUAGUCAGUUCAUACACAAUCACACCUCGCCAAGUACAAAAGUAAUCCCAUCAAUCAAUAAAUGAACGAAUCGCAAAAGAGCGCGACAUCCGUCAGUUCGCUGUGGCACGGAGAAACCAUUAUCAUUCUCACCCGUUUGUGAUUAUCAUCACCGUCAUCAUCAUCACAUCACAUCACAGCAGGCACAGCCAUCAAUCGCAAGAGGACGGCAGUCGAGAGCAAGAAAACGAAGUAGGCCGCACUCUUGGGCACGUCUUCAAUCUUCUCCCGUCGUCGCCAUCAUCGUCGAGGUGUGAUCAAUCACUUAUCAGUCACAUAAUUUCGCUUUAACCCAGGUGAGCUUAGGACUGGCCUCUCGUUCCAAAAACUCUGAUAAGAGAGCAAACCCGUCCCGGCGCUGUCUGUCUGCGCUGGGUCAUCUUUGUUCCGCACGUCAUCCGGAAGAGUAGUUUUGCAAUCUGCGCUCGCGAGCACACGCGUCAUCACAGCAAGCGCAGAGAUCAAAGGAACCGUAGCGGCCACGUCAGUCAGUCCGGAUAGAGGAACAAGCGGUAAAAAAAAUCUAGAUCACCUUCCAGUUCGGAGGAAAAGAGCGCAUCCACGCCUUUAUUUGAAUGCCCCGAAAGAUAAGCAGCCGUCGGCUCGGGCGGACGGGAGAUAGAUGGCACUGAUUCAUCAUCUGGCUACAAUGCGCGGUCGGUAACGCAGCAGGCGGGCGUCGUCAAUCAGCGCGGAGUCCGGAGUAAACAUUCGAUCUGUCACAACGCUCGCUAAAAAAUAAAAAAUCCCCCAUCAUUGCAAGGUGGGAAUCGAACGGGAAGAUAAGGAACAGCCAGGGAGACCGGAGUCCAACCAAACCGGAGAAGUCAUCGUUGCUCGUCACCGUGUGAUUGAUCGGUUCGGGGUGACCAACAUCCGGAGCAGUUCGAGGAAGAGGCAUCGUAAAAGCCAAAUUGCCGCCGACGCAUCGCGCAUGCUUGAUCGAGAAGAUCCAGACCAGAAGAAGACUCUCUUCCCAGAAGAGAGAUUUACACGCCACUCGAAGGGGCGUCAUCACGCGUGUGAUUUAUGGUUCCUCUAGUCCUCUGUCCCCGCAAGUCCCCUGUCACCAGCAGUGGAAGGCGUUAAUUUUAAUCGACGCCCCAUCGCGGCUUGAAUUCUUAAUCAGGGGCUCGUCCGCACGGAGACACCGGAAGCUGCGCGGUCUGUCGCUUGCGUUUUUUAUUGAAGACCACAAAUUGCAUAAUCGGACAUGUGCGAGCGGCGUGACAGGAGCGGAGGCAGAGGCGUUUAGGCGGGCAAUUGGCGGCGGUCGCCAUUAAGCAAAUUACACGUAAAGAGGCGACGCUGCGCUGCGCGUCUCGCGGGCGGCUGGGAAACUCUUUGUUUGCUCUCGUCGUCUUUCUCUGAUUUGUGCGGAUCGUAGUAGUCGUUGAAGUUGAACGAAUCGCAUGGAGACCAAAAGUGAAGUUCAAGGUUGAAAACGGUGACACCGCGCCGCCGGCCCCCAAAGGGGGAUGAGAGGUAAAACACUCUCUCUGGUGGAAGGAGAGAAGUCGACGGCGUUCAUUGGACAUGCGAGAGAAUAUCUGCCAGUGGAAUCCUGCGUGUUACAAUUAACUCAAUUUGUCUGUUUCCAUUACUGCGUGUACUUUGAUUAGUUUGUGUCUAUUCCUUUGUUGAUACUCAGAGUAAUGUUUUUGUUUUGAUUGAGCAACACCACUGACUGCUGUGAUGUUCAUUUUCCUCCCGUUGCAAGAAAAGCGGCACAACAUAAAAGCAUAAAAAAGUCGAGCAUCAGCAGUGGAAGAAGAUGGCGAGGAGGUGAUGUGCGUUUUUGGACAGGGGAAGACAUCUUGGAAAAAGAUAAAGUAAACAGUGAUCAAAGCAACGAUAAGACUCCGCCAAUCAAUGCGAAUCGUUUCUAUGACGUAGGAGUGUGUCACACCGAAGGUUGUCUCCAGGUCGUGAGAGUGACAAGUGCCAGAAAGUUCUCCGGAAAGUGUAAGUAUAUAAGUACAGUGAAAAAGGGGUUUUGGAUCGCCUCCAUUGACUUACUGUGGGGGCUCAGCCAAUAGAGUUCCUCGAGCUUGAAGAUAACCACCAAAAAGGACGAAGUCAGAAGUGUACAAAGGGGCGUUAUUCCCUGCGUAGCAUACUGCAGGACCACUGGGAUCAGCUACGGUGAGUAUUUGGUUCAGUGUUAAACACCAGUGUCGUUAGGGGGGAUCCGACAAAGGAAUUUACCUUGUACCCUAGCUAAUUGCAAAGGACCGCUGCUUCGGCGACGAAUUAACUCGCUGAAGAGGAGUAGGACGUGAAAAAGAAGAACGAGAAGUCAGUGGAAUAAGCAGAAGAAGGAAAAGAAAACUCCGUAUAUCCCGUGUGAGUUGAUGACAACUCUAAACCGUAGCUUGCGCGCCAUCGCCUUGGCAUCCAAGUCCGAUGUAGCGAGAAGAAGUUUUCCAUCAAUCAACGGUUCUACAUCCAAAAGUUGUCGGAGCGUUCUGGGUAAAUCGAAGCGAUGUCGUCGAACGUUCCUUUGAACCCUGGUCAAGAAACCGCCGAACGAUUACCAAUAUUCAAGUCAAAGCUCCACAAAGUAUCACAAUGACAACCUCGACAUCUCACUGAUGCUUAGCUAGGGGAAGCACACACAAGGGGAAUGUCAUUAACCCACAAACAGAUAGUUAUUUGACCUUCGAAUGCACUACAACAGACGAGGAGGAGAAAUGAAAUCAUCACUGUAAGCCUCAGCAAUGAACAACAAGGAUGCAGAACAAGUCAUCCUAACCUCCUAACCGAGAACUUUUUAGCGUUCUGCAGCAGCUAGUUUUCGCGCAAUCAGCAAACGAUCCGUGUUUGUACGAUCGAAGACGAGACAAUCUGAUUUGAGUGAUAUGGUCAUCGCUUGAUGACGACUCUAAGUCGCAACUUGCACGCCAUCUACUGGGCAUCCAAGCCCGAUGCAGCGAGAAGCAGUUUUCCAUCAAUCAACGAUUUUACAUCCAGAAGUUCCAACAGCGUUCUGGGUUAACCGAAGCGAAGUCUUCGGGCAUUCCUUUGGACCCAGGCCACCCGCAUCAAAAGGAGAGCAAGAAACCGCCCAACGAUUACCAGUAUUCAAGUCAAAGCUCCGCAAAGCAUCACAAUGACAACCUCGACAUGUCACUGAUGCUAGGCUAGGGGAAGGACACCCAAGGGGAAUGUCACUAACCCACGAACAGAUAGUUGUUUGACCUUCGAGUGCACUACAACAGACGUGGAGGAGAAAUGAAAUCGUCUCUCUAAGCCACAGCAAUGAAGAUUCUGGACAACAUCAGCCUUAGUUCCUCGACGAUGGAGAAGACACUUCAACUAACAAGGAUGUAGAACAAAUUAUCCUAACCUCCUUACCGAGAACUUUUUAGCGUUCUGCAGCAGCUUGUUUUCGCGCAAUCAGCAAACGAUCCGUGUUUGUACGAUCGAAGACGAGACAAUCUGAUUUGAAUGAUACGGUCAUCGCUUGAUGACGACUCUAAGUCGCAACUUGCACGCCAUCUAUAUCAAUCAUCGAUUCUACAUCCAGAAGCUCCGCCAGCGUUAUGGGUUAACCGAAGCGAAGUCUUCGGACAUUCCUUUGGACCCAGGCCACCAGCAUCAAAAGGAGAGCAAGAAACCGCCCAACGAUUACCAUUAUUCAAGUCAAAGCUCCGCAAAGCAUCACAAUGACAACCUCUACAUGUCACUGAUGCUUGGCUAGGGGAUGGACACCCAAGGGGAAUGUCACUAACCCACAAAGAGAUAGUUAUUUGACCUUCAAGGGCACUACAACAGACGUGGAGGAGAAAUGAAAUCGUCGCUGUAAGCCUCAGCAAUGAACAACGUUCUGGACAACGUCAGCCUGAGUUCCUCGACGAUGGAGAAGACACUUCAACUAACAAGGAUGUAGAACAAGUCAUCCUAACCUCCUAACCGAGAACUUUUUAACGUCCUGCAGCAGCUAGUUUUCACGCAAUCAGCAAACGAUCCGUGUUUGUACGAUCGAAGACGAGACAAUCUGAUUUGAGUGAUAUGGUCAUUGCUUGAAGACAACUUUAAACCGCAGCUUGCACGCCAUCUCCUGGAUCCAAAUCCGACGCAGCAAGAAGCAGUUUUCCAUCAAUAAUCGGAUCUACAUCCAGAACCUGUUGGGGCGUUCUGGGUUAACCGAAGCGAAGUCGUCGAACAUUCCUCUGUAUCCUGACCACCCGCAUCAGAAGGAGGAGAGCAAGAAACUGCCGAUCGAUUACCUGUAUUCAAGCCAAAGCCCGACAAAUCAUCACAAUAACAACCUCGACAUCUCACUGAUGCUUGGCUAGGGGAAGGACAUCCAAGGGGAAUGUCACUAACCGACAAACAGAUAGAUAUUUGACCUUCGAGUGCACUUAAGUAGACGAGGAGAUGAAAUGAAAUCGUCGCUGUAAGCCUCAGCAAUGAACAACGUUUUGGACAACGUCAGCCCAAGUUCCCCGGCGAUGCAGAAGACACUUCACUAACAAGGAUGUAGGACAAGUCAACCUAACCUCCUAACCGAGAACUUUCUGGCUGUGUCAUGCAUCAGAUAACCUUGAGCGUGAGACUAGGUCUCUGCCUUCCUCUUAGUUACGUAGGACGCUUCCAGCAUAACCCGACACCUGGAAGCUCCUGGACAUCGUUUAGGAGAAAUAUAUACUUUGAAUGGUCAUACGCGAUGGGACUGGCUUUCAAGAGAACUGAAGGAAGUGAACCGUGCGAUCGCUUCAUUCAGAAGCUGAUUGGUCAACAGAUCUGGAGAAGCGGAAAUCAGCGGCAGGCUACCUAUACGCGUUUUUAUAGGUGUCCUGUUUCCUGCUUUGUAGUCGUAAACAAGCCACAGUAUCUACACCUUCCAAUGAAGUCAAAUGUGUUACACUGAGAACGGCGGUAUCCGAGGACAUAUGGUUUGCUGGAAACUUAGGAGACUUGGGAUGCAAGAAGUCACAAGAAUGUUCCUGCAUGAAGACAACACAGGUUUUACAGCACUCACUGAGAAUCCCUAUUCUAAACGAGUCAAAGAAUUGACGUUUACCACCACUUGGUAGCGGCUGGAAGAAUCAAGUUCGAUCCAAUACCAGCAAUCCAUCAAGUCUUAUGAAGGUGAGAUCGUUUUAUAUAACCAUCAAACAAGUAUUCACUACACAGGCACAUUUACGGUCAAAGCUCCAAUCGACAGAGAAAGAAGAUAAAACAUUGAUUUUAGAAGAUGACCAUUUCCGUUCCCUAGGGGUCGUUACGCCCCUCCAUCCUCCCAAUCUGGGAAAGAACAGCCAACGCAGAUUCGUUCUGGGGACGACGCCAGCGAAACAGCGAAGCGAAGGAGCCAGCAACGACGCGAAUGGAAAAUGAUUGAAGUGGCAUAGAAAAUUAAUAGCAGUCACGCAAUCGAAAAUUUCGUUCUAUCGUCCGGUGCCGUCGCCUACUACGGACAGGGGGCGCAACGCCCCAUCUUCCUAGCUAGGGCUAGGUGGAUGGGGGGACGCACGGCAAAGUAGCAAGCAAAUUAAACUAAUCAGAAAACCAUGCUCGCGGCGCGGCGCGGCACGGCAGAUCCGCAGAAGAUGCUAUCUGACUGUUUGAUUCGUCUUCGGCUAUUUUCUUCGCAAACUUUUCUCACAG